CAGGCAACGAGCGAGACCCACGCCCACAGUUGCCAGCGUACUCUCCGGAGUGACGGGUACACUGUGGGGACCGCCGCUGCUAAAGCGGAGGAAGGAAUGGGCAACGGUAGGUCAGUAUGCCCCGAAUAUCCCGGGCUACACGCGAGCUACAAUGGUUGGUACAAUGGGUAUCUACCCCGAAAGGGGGCGGGAAUCUCCUAAAACCAAUCUUAGUUCGGAUUGAGGGCUGCAACUCGCCCUCAUGAAGCUGGAAUCCGUAGUAAUCGCGUUUCAACAGAACGCGGUGAAUGUGUUCCUGAGCCUU
rnacentral:rRNA from 1 species